rnacentral:tRNA from 1 species
UAGAGCAUAGCUUAGUGGUAUAGUGGAUGCUUAUUAUGCAUCAGGCCUAGAUUUAAUUUCAAGCUCUAG